rnacentral:rRNA from 1 species
GGGUUGUGAGGUUAAGCGACUAAGCGUACACGGUGGAUGCCCUGGCAGUCAGAGGCGAUGAAGGACGUGCUAAUCUGCGAAAAGCGUCGGUAAGGUGAUAUGAACCGUUACAGCCGGCGAUGUCCGAAUGGGGAAACCCAGUGCAAUUCGUUGCACUAUCGUUAACUGAAUACAUAGGUUAACGAGGCGAACCGGGGGAACUGAAACAUCUAAGUACCCCGAGGAAAAGAAAUCAACCGAGAUUCCCCCAGUAGCGGCGAGCGAACGGGGAGCAGCCCAGAGUCUGAAUCAGCUUGUGUGUUAGUGGAACGGUCUGGAAAGUCCGACGGUACAGGGUGAUAGUCCCGUACACCAAAAUGCACAGGCUGUGAACUCGAAGAGUAGGGCGGGACACGUGGUAUCCUGUCUGAAUAUGGGGGGACCAUCCUCCAAGGCUAAAUACU